AUUGAACGCUGGCGGCAUGCCUUACACAUGCAAGUCGAACGGCAGCACGGGAGCUUGCUCCUGGUGGCGAGUGGCGAACGGGUGAGUAAUGCAUCGGAACGUGCCCUGAAGUGGGGGAUAACGUAGCGAAAGUUACGCUAAUACCGCAUAUUCUGUGAGCAGGAAAGCAGGGGAUCUUCGGACCUUGCGCUUUUGGAGCGGCCGAUGUCGGAUUAGCUAGUUGGUGGGGUAAAGGCCCACCAAGGCGACGAUCCGUGGCGGGUCUGAGAGGAUGAUCCGCCACACUGGAACUGAGACACGGUCCAGACUCCUACGGGAGGCAGCAGUGGGGAAUUUUGGACAAUGGGCGCAAGCCUGAUCCAGCCAUGCCGCGUGAGUGAAGAAGGCC
rnacentral:rRNA from 1 species